rnacentral:snRNA from 1 species
AUGCCUUAAACUGAUGAGUAAGGAAAAUAACGACGCGGGGUGACGCCCGUGUCCUCGCUCAAACUCGCGAGAGGAAUUUUUGAGCGGGCACAGGUCCG